UUUUGUAUUUAAUAACUGAGAAGCACUCUCUGUUGGGCUUUCUUUGCCUUGAGAAACUCUUGGGUUGCUUUUGCUAUACGUUUUGGAUCAUUAUUCAUUUGCAGGUUUUGUCCUGUCAGUUUUUGAGUAUUUGUCUCAGUCUGAACGUCAGGUCGAGCAGAGAGCAGCUGUAUAUGCUUAUAAUACUGCCUUCACCAUGUUUAAUAGAUAAUGGUGGCAUGCUUUGGAUCAUAAGCAGUUCCUUAGUUUCCGUAGUUCCGUAGUUUUCCAUCAUUCUAGUACAAGUUAAUCUUAGUUUCAUCUGUUCAAAGGUUAUUUUUAUUAAAUUUUUAAUUUAAUUAAACUGUGCAGACUCCUGUAGAUGUUUUCCAAUCUGAUCUCAGCGGGCCUUGUUUAUUCAGAAGUUCACAUGAUGUUUCUUUGCUUUUUGAAUUUUCAUUUCCAUGAUGGCAUCUCUUGGUAGUAGACCUUGACAAUGAUACACCUCCCUCCUCCAGACUGUUCUUGACUUGGCCCUUUGGUGUUGCUCAGCUGGCCAGAGCUGGCCUGAGUGACACCACGAUGUAGCGGUUAACACAAUGAUGUUCCCAUUUCAAGAUUGGGAAGAAAUACAAACCCAGCCUCAGGGAGUCACAAGCUACUGUACUCCAGUGCUGGUCCCAAACCUGGAUAAAUGGCAGAGUUGCAUCAGGAAGGGCAUCCCUCAUCAAGUCUCUGCCAAUCAAACAUGCAGUUCCAUCUUCUGUGGCAAUCCCUUGGGAAAUAAACCAGUA
ensembl:lncRNA